AGGAGGCCAUUGUUCCGGUUCUCCUAAGGCUCAGGGAGAGUGACAAGGCACCUGCUGCUCCCCAGAGCUGAGAGUUCAGGUCAGCCCUGGAAACGCUGGAGGCUCAGACUCCUGCCCCAGCACUCCAACCACUCAGGCGCUAGAGGUUCAAGGCCGUGGGGGAAGGUUUGGGAAGAGCCAUCUGGAGGAGUCUAAGACGACUGUUUCUACUUGGAAGGGUCUACUCUGAGCAUGCUUCCAGGGGUCAGAAACAGCAUAUCCAGAGAACCGCAACACCAGACGUAUAACUUUGCGGUAGAAAGAGCUUGGCCAAGUCAUCAAGGUGGACGUCGGCACUACAGGAGAUACAUCGGCAUCCCGCUGUCCCUGGAACACUGCAGCAAGAACAGGACACCACACCUCCCAGAAAGACAGGCUUCAAUCUGAUCACGCACGAACAUCAGAUAAGCCCACAU